CGCUGAUAGAUAGGCAUGCGUUCCAUUAGGCAGUUGGCGGGGUAACGGCCCACCAAACCGACGAUGGAUAGGGGUUCUGAGAGGAAGGUCCCCCACAUUGGUACUGAGACACGGACCAAACUCCUACGGGAGGCAGCAGUGAGGAAUAUUGGUCAAUGGGCGUAAGCCUGAACCAGCCAAGUCGCGUGAGGGAUGAAGGUUCUAUGGAUCGUAAACCUCUUUUAUAAGGGAAUAAAGUGCGGGACGUGUCCCGUUUUGUAUGUACCUUAUGAAUAAGGAUCGGCUAACUCCGUGCCAGCAGCCGCGGUAAUACGGAGGAUCCGAGCGUUAUCCGGAUUUAUUGGGUUUAAAGGGUGCGUAGGCGGCCUUUUAAGUCAGCGGUGAAAGUCUGUGGCUCAACCAUAGAAUUGCCGUUGAAACUGGGAGGCUUGAGUAUGUUUGAGGCAGGCGGAAUGCGUGGUGUAGCGGUGAAAUGCUUAGAUAUCACGCAGAACCCCGAUUGCGAAGGCAGCCUGCCAAGCCAUGACUGACGCUGAUGCACGAAAGCGUGGGGAUCAAACAGGAUUAGAUACCCUGGUAGUCCACGCAGUAAACGAUGAUCACUAGCUGUUUGCGAUACAGUGUAA
rnacentral:rRNA from 1 species